CUGGUAGGCUGGCUGGGUUUCUGGUUGCUGCAGGGUACAUUCUGUGGAGAAGGUUCCUGGACUACUCUGAACCAGUAGGCUUUGGCAAGCUCUGGCACUGUCAUAAGCAACGCAUUUUCAACUAAAUAUGCAGCAAGGACCCAUUGGACAUGUCCAGUACUGGACCAGUGAACCGAGCAGAGGAACCAGACAAAUACUGGAGACAGAUGUGUUUUCCUUCCCCCAUUGUAAGCUCUCUCUUCUAUGGUCACUCAAACCACAAAACAAGAUCUCUGCAAGCAAAUCGUCUGCUGACAAUGUCUCUAACAUACAAAGUGUCUUGGGCUGAAUAAAAGGAAGGGGCUGAAUAAAAUAUCUCUAUAGUGAGGAUAAAGUAGUCUUGUCAGUGUUCUCACUGGGAAAGCAUCUGUACAAGGAAAAAAAACUCCUGAUGAUUCUCCAGCACAAUAUUUCCAAAUUGCAUCAGUUUUCUCAGGCAUGGUG